GAUGAAUGCUGGCGGCGUGCCUAACACAUGCAAGUCGAGCGGCAGCGCGGUCUUCGGACUGGCGGCGAGCGGCGGACGGCUGAGUAACGCGUGGGAACAUACCCCAAAGUGAGGGAUAACCGCCCGAAAGGGUGGCUAAUACCGCAUAUGAUCUUCGGAUUAAAGGAUUUAUCCGCUUUGGGAAUGGCCUGCGUACGAUUAGAUAGUUGGUGAGGUAAUGGCUUACCAAGUCUACGAUCGUUAACUGGUCUGAGAGGAUGAUCAGUCAGACUGGAACUGAGACACGGGCCAGACUCCUACGGGAGGCAGCAGUGAGGAAUCUUCCACAAUGGGCGAAAGCCUGAUGGAGCAACGCCGCGUGCAGGAUGAAGGCCUUCGGGUCGUAAACUGCUUUUAUAAGUGAAGAAUAUGACGGUAACUUAUGAAUAAGCACCGGCUAACUACGUGCCAGCAGCCGCGGUAA
rnacentral:rRNA from 1 species